rnacentral:misc_RNA from 1 species
CCGUCAAUUCAUUUAAGUUUUAAUCUUGCGAUCGUACUCCCCAGGCGGGGCACUUAAUGCGUUAGCUGCGUCGCAGAGACCGUGGAAGGUCCCCACAACUAGUGCCCACCGUUUACGGCGUGGACUACCAGGGUAUCUAAUCCUGUUCGCUCCCCACGCUUUCGCUCCUCAGUGUCAGUAAUGGCCCAGAGUCCUGCCUUCGCCAUUGGUGUUCCUCCUGAUAUCUGCGCAUUCCACCGCUACACCAGGAAUUCCAGACUCCCCUACCAUACUCAAGCUCGCCCGUAUCGAAUGCAGGUCUGGGGUUAAGCCCCAGAUUUUCACAUCCGACGUGACGAACCACCUACGAGCUCUUUACGCCCAAUAAUUCCGGACAACGCUUGCACCCUAUGUAUUACCG